rnacentral:rRNA from 1 species
AGGGUUCGAUCCUGGCUCAGAUUGAACGCUGGCGGCAGCUAACACAUGCAAGUCGAACGGAAACAUGUCUAGCUUGCUAGAUGAUGUCGAGUGGCGGACGGGUGAGUAAUGCUUGGGAACUUGCCUUUGCGAGGGGGAUAACAGUUGGAAACGACUGCUAAUACCGCAUAAUGUCUUCGGACCAAACGGGGCUUCGGCUCCGGCGCAAAGAGAGGCCCAAGUGAGAUAAGCUAGUUGGUGAGGUAAAAGCUCACCAAGGCAACGAUCUCUAGCUGUUCUGAGAGGAAGAUCAGCCACACUGGGACUGAGACACGGCCCAGACUCCUACGGGAGGCAGCAGUGGGGAAUAUUGCACAAUGGGGGAAACCCUGAUGCAGCCAUGCCGCGUGUGUGAAGAAGGCCUUCGGGUUGUAAAGCACUUUCAGUUGUGAGGAAAAGUUAGUAGUUAAUACCUGCUAGCCGUGACGUUAACAACAGAAGAAGCACCGGCUAACUCCGUGCCAGCAGCCGCGGUAAUACGGAGGGUGCGAGCGUUAAUCGGAAUUACUGGGCGUAAAGCGCACGCAGGCGGUUUGUUAAGCUAGAUGUGAAAGCCCCGGGCUCAACCUGGGACGGUCAUUUAGAACUGGCAGACUAGAGUCUUGGAGAGGGGAGUGGAAUUCCAAGUGUAGCGGUGAAAUGCGUAGAUAUCUGGAGGAACAUCAGUGGCGAAGGCGACUCCCUGGCCAAAGACUGACGCUCAUGUGCGAAAGUGUGGGUAGCGAACAGGAUUAGAUACCCDGGUAGUCCACACCGUAAACGCUGUCUACUAGCUGUUUGUGACUUUAAGUCGUGAGUAGCGAAACUAACGCGAUAAGUAGACCGCCUGGGCAGUACGGCCGCAAGGUUAAAACUCAAAUGAAUUGACGGGGGCCCGCACAAGCGGUGGAGCAUGUGGUUUAAUUCGAUGCAACGCGAAGAACCUUACCUACACUUA